rnacentral:lncRNA from 1 species
GUUACCAUUUCCGGGGUAUUCAAAUCACAUACAAAAUCAUUAUUUUGAAGAAUCCAAAGAGCAAAUGGAAUUCGUCCAAAAGAACACUACAUUAGUCUAUUACAAUCGUUACAUUAUACUAUAGCCCAAAUAAGCCUACUACUGCCUACAAGUACAAUACAUAAUAUGCUACUCUUUGCUGAUAUGCUUCACAACUUCAGACUUGGAUUCGCACUUCACCUGUGCAAAAAAUAUGAAUGAACAUAUAAUAAUAAGAAUGUGUCGAGAACAUCAAACAAUGGUCAAUGAGGGAUCCAAUAACUUAGAAG